rnacentral:rRNA from 1 species
AGACGAGGAGCUUGCUCCUUUGACGUUAGCGGCGGACGGGUGAGUAACACGUGGGUAACCUACCUAUAAGACUGGGAUAACUUCGGGAAACCGGAGCUAAUACCGGAUAAUAUUUCGAACCGCAUGGUUCGAUAGUGAAAGAUGGCUUUGCUAUCACUUAUAGAUGGACCUGCGCCGUAUUAGCUAGUUGGUAAGGUAACGGCUUACCAAGGCAACGAUACGUAGCCGACCUGAGAGGGUGAUCGGCCACACUGGAACUGAGACACGGUCCAGACUCCUACGGGAGGCAGCAGUAGGGAAUCUUCCGCAAUGGGCGAAAGCCUGACGGAGCAACGCCGCGUGAGUGAUGAAGGUCUUCGGAUCGUAAAACUCUGUUAUUAGGGAAGAACAAACGUGUAAGUAACUGUGCACGUCUUGACGGUACCUAAUCAGAAAGCCACGGCUAACUACGUGCCAGCAGCCGCGGUAAUACGUAGGUGGCAAGCGUUAUCCGGAAUUAUUGGGCGUAAAGCGCGCGUAGGCGGUUUUUUAAGUCUGAUGUGAAAGCCCACGGCUCAACCGUGGAGGGUCAUUGGAAACUGGAAAACUUGAGUGCAGAAGAGGAAAGUGGAAUUCCAUGUGUAGCGGUGAAAUGCGCAGAGAUAUGGAGGAACACCAGUGGCG